rnacentral:rRNA from 1 species
GACAGAGGUGCCAAGCGUUAGGCGGAAUCACUGGGCUUAAAGCGCGUGUAGGCGGCCACGCACGUCCGUUGUGAAAUCGCCCGGCUCAACUGGGCGGGGUCAGCGGAUACGGUGUGGCUCGAGCAAGCUAGGGGGCAAUGGAAUUCCCGGUGUAGUGGUGGAAUGCGUAGAUAUCGGGAGGAACACCAGUGGCGAAGGCGGUUGCCUGGAGCUUUGCUGACGCUGAGGCGCGAAAGCGUGGGGAGCGAUCCGG